rnacentral:rRNA from 1 species
UACGUAGGGACCAAGCGUUGUUCGGAAUUACUGGGCGUAUAGGGCGCGUAGGCGGCCAUUUAAGUUAGACGUGAAAGCCCUGGGCUUAACCCAGGAAUUGCGUUUAAUACUGGAUGGCUAGAGUUUGGUAGAGGAAAGCGGAAUUCCUAGUGUAGAGGUGAAAUUCGUAGAUAUUAGGAAGAACACCAGAGGCGAAGGCGGCUUUCUGGACCAAUACUGACGCUGAGGCGCGAAAGCGUGGGGAGCAAACAGG